rnacentral:rRNA from 1 species
GAUGAACGCUAGCGGGGAGGCUUAACACAUGCAAGUCGAGCGGGAUUCACCUUCGGGUGAUGAGAGCGGCGCACGGGUGCGUAACGCGUAUGCAACCUACCUUAUACAAAGGGAUAGCCCAUGGAAACGUGGAUUAAUAUCUUAUGGGACUAAUUAAUCGCAUGGUUGAUUAGUUAAAAUUUCGGUGGUAUAAGAUGGGCAUGCGUCUGAUUAGCUAGUUGGUGAGGUAACGGCUCACCAAGGCGACGAUCAGUAGGGGUUCUGAGAGGAUUACCCCCCACACUGGUACUGAGACACGGACCAGACUCCUACGGGAGGCAGCAGUGAGGAAUAUUGGUCAAUGGACGAAAGUCUGAACCAGCCAUCCCGCGUGCAGGAUGACGGCCCUAUGGGUUGUAAACUGCUUUUUCUACGCCAAGAAACCUACCAACGUGUUGGUANCUGACGGUAGUGUAGGAAUAAGCACCGGCUAACUCGUGCCAGCAGCCGCGGUAAAGUAGACGU